rnacentral:rRNA from 1 species
UACGUAGGGUGCAAGCGUUGUCCGGAAUUAUUGGGCGUAAAGAGCGUGUAGGCGGCUCGGUAAGUCCGCUGUGAAAGUCCAGGGCUCAACCCCUGGAAUGCCGGUGGAAACUGUCGAGCUAGAGUCCGGAAGAGGCGAGUGGAAUUCCUGGUGUAGCGGUGAAAUGCGCAGAUAUCAGGAGGAACACCGAUGGCGAAGGCAGCUCGCUGGGACGGUACUGACGCUGAGACGCGAAAGCGUGGGGAGCAAACAGG